AAAGCAGGCUGCAAUUACAGUGCUCCAUUCUGUGGGAGUACUGCCAUUUUCCUGCUAAUUGUCUUUGGUUUUGCCUGUACCAUGGUGAAGCCGCUUGUUCUUAACAUGU
rnacentral:snoRNA from 1 species